GACAAACGCUGGCGGCGUGCCUAAAACAUGCAAGUCGAACGAGCACUUCGGUGCGAGUGGCGGACGGCUGAGUAACACGUGGGUAACCUACCCUGAAGUGGGGAACAACCCGCCGAAAGGCGAGCUAAUACCGCAUACGAUCGCUGGUCUCCGGACUGGUGAGGAAAGCCUUCGGGCGCUUUAGGAUGGGCCUGCGGCCGAUUAGCCAGUUGGUGGGGUAAUGGCCUACCAAAGCGAUGAUCGGUAGCUGGUCUGAGAGGAUGAUCAGCCAGACUGGGACUGCGACACGGCCCAGACUCCUACGGGAGGCAGCAGUUAGGAAUCUUGGGCAAUGGGCGAAAGCCUGACCCAGCAACGCCGCGUGGGUGACGAAGGCCUUC
rnacentral:rRNA from 1 species